CUCCCUCUAUUAUAAUAUCCGACAGUUCUUUAGAUUUUGCAAUGACACAAGCUUCCCAACAAGCUAAGGCUUCUAGAAUAAGCAGAUCAGAAAUGCAGGAGAAUUGCUUGCAGGACCAACCAAUGGUAAACAUGAUUAACAGUUUCACAGGACCUGGGGUCAACUAAUGAAGACUGGUUAUCAAAAUUCUCGGUUUGCACAUCAGGUUGAGAGAUUUGCUUGCCUCUAUACUAGUCAAGUUUCCAAUUUAAGGCUGUAUUCCCCUGACAAAUGUUACAGACCAAGUGAAGACUCCAUGCCACAUGAAUUUGGUAUUCUUUUUUAGGGAGACCAGUUUGGCUGCUGGCUUACUUUUUGAGGGAGCUUAAUCCAUUCAUACAUACAAAUCUAGUUGUUUUAGCUUAAAUUUGCUCUGCUCUGUAGUUAAAUCACACAUACAAAUCUGUAUUGAUGAUAUGAUUGCUUGUAAUUGUACAGUAUACAAAUAUUAAACAUUUUAACUUGCCCUCAUACGAUGCCUGAGUAGGUGAUUGUUGCAUCUCACGUCCUAUUUGGGUAUAAAAAGAAAAACGUACAUGAAAGAAACCUGUUUAUUAAAAUAAUUUUUUUAAAUAAAAAUGACGUAUUAUAUAUUUAUUAAUAAAUAUUUUUUUAAAUAAAAAUAAUAAAUUAUAUAUAAAUAUGAAGGAAAAUGCAUAUGCUCCGAAUAGUUUCGCGGUUGUACAAAUGGAAGGAUGGAUUAUGUGUACCUAGGUGGAGCUGCCAAAUUUACGUUUCGCAAUCGAAACGGGACGUUUAGGAAGCGUCGGGAAAUAGUAAAACGGUGCGUGCAAACUGCAAACCAAUGCAUCCUUUUGCUUUAUAUAUUCCCUGGGCCUCCUAUCCCUAAUCGGCGGCCAAUAAAAACGUAUCAAAGACACAGAUCACAGAAGAGGAGGAAGAAGAAGAAGAAGACGACGACGACGACGAUUCGGUGGGCUUUGCUGAUUGACCAUUUCUUCGAUUAUAAUUCCAACCUCAUAUAUAAUUACUCCUUUAGCAGAUUUUGAGUCUUGCUGAUUGAAAAUGCUGAAUUUUACAACGAUCUUCUGCAAUCUUUCUGAAGGUUAGAGAGCUUGUCUCCAAUGUUCCUGUGUACGCAAGCAUUACAGAUGGCUCUGCAGGUGGAUUAAGCUUGAUUUUGAGUCGUUGGGCUACCAAGAAGACGGCUGGAUCUACCUAGAAUGGACGAGAUUCAAAACCAAAGAAUCUUGGAGUGAAGAAAUUUGGCGGGGAGAUAACUUCGUUGGUGAUAGAAAUCGCUGGCCUUUUGUUAUGCUAGAGCAUGCAAUUUUUGUUUUGAUUUGCUUGAUCGAUUUUUAUACAGAGGGUGAUACCUGGAAAUAUCAUAGUUCGGCAGGGGGGAGCUCGUUUUCACCCUGGAAACUACUUUGGGAUGGGGAAGGAUCACACCCUUUAUGCUCUAAAGGAAGGAAAUGUCAAGUUUGAGACGCACAAGCUUAGCGGCCGCAAAUGGGUGCAUGUUGAAGCCAAGGAUGGAUAUGAGCUUCACCCAGUGUAUGCGAAAGCAAGUGCUGCUUUGUCGCAGCUCAAGACAGCCUCUUGAAUUGUAUUUUUGGAUGCGUCUACCAUAACUUGGUUUUUCAUAUUGGAAGAAUAACUAAAACAGUCUUGUUAGAAUGCAAUUGCAAAUAAACCUGUUAGAAAUUAUUAGUUU